CUACGAAGGUGGCUAGCGUUGUUCGGAAUUACUGGGCGUAAAGCGCGCGUAGGCGGAUUGGUCAGUUAGGGGUGAAAUCCCAGGGCUUAACCCUGGAACUGCCUCUAAUACUGCCAGUCUUGAGUUCGGGAGAGGUGAGUGGAAUUCCUAGUGUAGAGGUGAAAUUCGUAGAUAUUAGGAAGAACGCCAGUGGCGAAGGCGGCUCACUGGCCCGAUACUGACGCUGAGGCGCGAAAGCGUGGGGAGCAAACAGGAUUAGAUACCCUAGUAGUCC
rnacentral:rRNA from 1 species